GCUCCCAUCGUCUAGUGGUUAGGACGCAUGGUUCUCAACCAUGCAACACCGGUUCAACUCCGGUUGGGAGCACCA
rnacentral:tRNA from 2 species